CCUACGGGAGGCAGCAGUGAGGAAUAUUGGUCAAUGGGCGCGAGCCUGAACCAGCCAAGUAGCGUGAAGGAUGACUGCCCUACGGGUUGUAAACUUCUUUUCUCAGGGACUAAGACAGUGCCGGUACCUGCUGACUAAGCCACGGCUCACUACGUGCCAGCAGCCGCGGUAAUACGUAGGUGGCAAGCGUUAUCCGGAUUUAUUGGGUGUAAAGGGCGUGUAGGCGGGAGCGCAAGUCAGAUGUGAAAACUCAGGGCUCAACCCUGAGCCUGCAUUUGAGACUGUGUUUCUUGAGUGCUGGAGAGGCAAUCGGAAUUCCUGGUGUAGCGGUGAAAUGCGUAGAUAUAAGGAGGAACACCAGUGGCGAAGGCGGAUUGCUGGACAGUAACUGACGCUGAGGCGCGAAAGCGUGGGUAGCAAACAGGAUUAGAUACCCUUGUAGUC
rnacentral:rRNA from 1 species